UGGGGAAUUUUGGACAAUGGGCGAAAGCCUGAUCCAGCAAUGCCGCGUGUGUGAAGAAGGCCUUCGGGUUGUAAAGCACUUUUGUCCGGAAAGAAAUCCUUGGCUCUAAUACAGUCGGGGGAUGACGGUACCGGAAGAAUAAGCACCGGCUAACUACGUGCCAGCAGCCGCGGUAAUACGUAGGGUGCAAGCGUUAAUCGGAAUUACUGGGCGUAAAGCGUGCGCAGGCGGUUUGCUAAGGCCGAUGUGAAAUCCCCGGGCUCAACCUGGGAACUGCAUUGGUGACUGGCAGGCUAGAGUAUGGCAGAGGGGGGUAGAAUUCCACGUGUAGCAGUGAAAUGCGUAGAGAUGUGGAGGAAUACCGAUGGCGAAGGCAGCCCCCUGGGCCAAUACUGACGCUCAUGCACGAAAGCGUGGGGAGCAAACAGGAUUAGAUACCCUGGUAGUCCACGCCCUAAAACGAUGUCAACUAGUUGUUGGGGAUUCAUUUCCUUAGUAACGUAGCUAACGCGUGAAGUUGACCGCCUGGGGAGUACGGUCGCAAGAUUAAAACUCAAAGGAAUUGACGGGGUCAUAGCUGUUUCCU
rnacentral:rRNA from 1 species